rnacentral:rRNA from 1 species
AUUGAACGCUGGCGGCAGGCCUAACACAUGCAAGUCGAACGGUAGCACAGGAGAGCUUGCUCUCUGGGUGACGAGUGGCGGACGGGUGAGUAAUGCAUGGGGAGCUGCCCAAUCGAGGGGGAUACCAGCUGGAAACGGCUGCUAAUACCGCAUACGCCCUGAGGGGGAAAGUGGGGACCUUCGGGCCUACCGCGAUUGGAUGCACCCAUGUGGGAUUAGCUAGUUGGUGAGGUAACGGCUCACCAAGGCGACGAUCUCUAGCUGGUCUGAGAGGAUGACCAGCCACACUGGAACUGAGACACGGUCCAGACUCCUACGGGAGGCAGCAGUGGGGAAUAUUGCACAAUGGGGGAAACCCUGAUGCAGCCAUGCCGCGUGUGUGAAGAAGGCC